AGAAUCAACGCUGGCGGCGUGCCUAACACAUGCAAGUCGAACGAGAAAGUGGAGCAAUCCAUGAGUACAGUGGCGUACGGGUGAGUAACACGUGACUAACCUACCCUCGAGUGGGGAAUAACCUCGGGAAACCGAGGCUAAUACCGCAUAACACUUACGAGUCAAAGCAGCAAUGCGCUUGGAGAGGAGUUCGCGGCAGAUUAGCUAGUUGGUGGGGUAAUGGCCCACAAGGCGAUGAUCUGUA
rnacentral:rRNA from 1 species